GUAGUCCAUGCCGUAAACGUUGGGCACUAGAUGUGGGGGACAUUCCACGUUUUCCGCGUCGUAGCUAACGCAUUAAGUGCCCCGCCUGGGGAGUACGGCCGCAAGGCUAAAACUCAAUGGAAUUGACGGGGGCCCGCACAAGCGGCGGAGCAUGCUGAUUAAUUCGAUGCAACGCGAAGAACCUUACCAAGGCUUGACAUGCACCGGGCGACUGCAGAGAUGUGGUUUUCUUCGGACUGGUGCACAGGUGGUGCAUGGUUGUCGUCAGCUCGUGUCGUGAGAUGUUGGGUUAAGUCCCGCAACGAGCGCAACCCUCGUUCUAUGUUGCCAGCACGUCAUGGUGGGGACUCAUAGGAGACUGCCGGGGUCAACUCGGA
rnacentral:rRNA from 1 species